UAUAAGAUAGGAAUAUUAGUUUAUACGUUCUUAAAGUUCAUAGAGUCAGUAUAUUGAUUAGUUUAGUUGAUGCAACCUUAGCAGUUUAUUGGGAUGUUAUUUAUAGCUAAUUCUUCUUAUCUAGUUAUCCAAUCUUAUUUUAGAAUCUUGCUAUUAUGAAGGUGACAGUAGCAAUGAUAGAUAAGUGAGCAAGAGUUUCUACAUCGUUAAGCGUAUCAGGUGGGCUUUCUAAACUCAGAAUUUGAAGUGCGCACUAUUUAAUGAUGUUUAUAUGAAUGAAAGUUAUAUUAAAGUUAUUGACUUGCCAAAUUAUUUUAUGAGCUUGUAUGUUACCAUCUACGAGAGAUAGACGAUAUCGGCCCUAUGCUGAAGCGAGAUGUCAGUAAGGGUUUGUGCACAUAGUUGUGACCGUGAGUCAUCGAGCGGGUUGGCUGGUCACUGUGAUCGGGAGCCUUCGGGCCGAUCACUGUGUUUGAGAAGGAGGCCUACUUCUCAACACAAGGUUACAUGAAGCGUAGUUAUGGUACAUACAUGUUAAUUGUCUGCAGACGUAUAUGAUGUUAUGAUGAUAUAUAUAUAGAAGUUUUAGAGUUUUGGCGUGCACAGGUUAUUUUUAAAUAAAACUCCUGUGUGAUGCUUGAGAUGGCAAGUUCAAUAUAUAGCUCUAAGAGCAAACUUUAAAGUUAUUUCGGCAUGUGACCAUUGGGUACCUUUUUAGUACUCAGCCCUGCAUAUGUUUUCUAAAUAUGCAGGUUAAGCUGUGAUGCGGAUGGAAGCGAGCAGAACAAAGUCUUAAAGAUAAUGUAUUAAAUUAGGCUCAGGAUUUCAUGUCCUCAUACAUGUAAUCCACUUGAGUUAUUUCCGCUGCAACACUUAAUGUACUUUACUUUAUUGAUGUGUUGUACAGAUUUUAAACCAAUAGCUUCG
rnacentral:lncRNA from 1 species